rnacentral:rRNA from 1 species
GACGAACGCUGGCGGCGUGCUUAACACAUGCAAGUCGAACGGAAAGGCCCUGCUUUUGUGGGGUGCUCGAGUGGCGAACGGGUGAGUAACACGUGAGUAACCUGCCCUUGACUUUGGGAUAACUUCAGGAAACUGGGGCUAAUACCGGAUAGGAGCUCCUGCUGCAUGGUGGGGGUUGGAAAGUUUCGGCGGUUGGGGAUGGACUCGCGGCUUAUCAGCUUGUUGGUGGGGUAGUGGCUUACCAAGGCUUUGACGGGUAGCCGGCCUGAGAGGGUGACCGGCGACAUUGGGACUGAGAGACGGCCCAGACUGCUACGGGAGGCAGCAGGGGGGAAUAUUACACAAUGGGCGGAAGCCUGAUGCAGAAACGUCGGGUGCGGGAUGACGGCCUUCGGGGUGUAAACCGCUUUCGCCGGUGACGAAGCGUGAGUGACGGUAAUGGGUAAAGAAGCACCGGCUAACUACGUG